rnacentral:rRNA from 1 species
AGAGUUUGAUCCUGGCUCAGGAUGAACGCUGGCGGCGUGCCUAAUACAUGCAAGUCGAGCGAACGGACGAGAAGCUUGCUUCUCUGAUGUUAGCGGCGGACGGGUGAGUAACACGUGGAUAACCUACCUAUAAGACUGGGAUAACUUCGGGAAACCGGAGCUAAUACCGGAUAAUAUUUUGAACCGCAUGGUUCAAAAGUGAAAGACGGUCUUGCUGUCACUUAUAGAUGGAUCCGCGCUGCAUUAGCUAGUUGGUAAGGUAACGGCUUACCAAGGCAACGAUGCAUAGCCGACCUGAGAGGGUGAUCGGCCACACUGGAACUGAGACACGGUCCAGACUCCUACGGGAGGCAGCAGUAGGGAAUCUUCCGCAAUGGGCGAAAGCCUGACGGAGCAACGCCGCGUGAGUGAUGAAGGUCUUCGGAUCGUAAAACUCUGUUAUUAGGGAAGAACAUAUGUGUAAGUAACUGUGCACAUCUUGACGGUACCUAAUCAGAAAGCCACGGCUAACUACGUGCCAGCAGCCGCGGUAAUACGUAGGUGGCAAGCGUUAUCCGGAAUUAUUGGGCGUAAAGCGCGCGUAGGCGGUUUUUUAAGUCUGAUGUGAAAGCCCACGGCUCAACCGUGGAGGGUCAUUGGAAACUGGAAAACUUGAGUGCAGAAGAGGAAAGUGGAAUUCCAUGUGUAGCGGUGAAAUGCGCAGAGAUAUGGAGGAACACCAGUGGCGAAGGCGACUUUCUGGUCUGUAACUGACGCUGAUGUGCGAAAGCGUGGGGAUCAAACAGGAUUAGAUACCCUGGUAGUCCACGCCGUAAACGAUGAGUGCUAAGUGUUAGGGGGUUUCCGCCCCUUAGUGCUGCAGCUAACGCAUUAAGCACUCCGCCUGGGGAGUACGACCGCAAGGUUGAAACUCAAAGGAAUUGACGGGGACCCGCACAAGCGGUGGAGCAUGUGGUUUAAUUCGAAGCAACGCGAAGAACCUUACCAAAUCUUGACAUCCUUUGACAACUCUAGAGAUAGAGCUUUCCCCUUCGGGGGACAAAGUGACAGGUGGUGCAUGGUUGU